UUUUUUCAUCUUCUCUAAUCUCUCUUCUCAUAUGUUUUUUAUGUUUUAUUAUAAUGUUUUUAAUAUUAUUUUAAGCUACUAUUAUAUAUAUAUAUAUAUAUUUUUUAUUCCACUUUUUUCUAAUCUAAUUUUUUGUAUAUUGAAUGAGAAGUUUUUCUCUAAAUAUGAUGAGUUUUGAUGUUAUUUACUAAUGUAUGAAUGGCUAAACACAAAGUUACGUUGUUCUCUAUAGGUGUA
rnacentral:lncRNA from 1 species